rnacentral:rRNA from 1 species
UGGGGAAUCUUCCGCAAUGGGCGAAAGCCUGACGGAGCAAUGCCGCGUGAGUGAAGAAGGCCUUCGGGUUGUAAAACUCUGUCCUAUUUGAAGAGAGAGUUGUGUGUGAAUAAUGCAUGACUAGGACGGUAAAAUAGGAGGAAGCCCCGGCUAACUACGUGCCAGCAGCCGCGGUAAUACGUAGGGGGCAAGCGUUGUCCGGAAUCAUUGGGCGUAAAGCGCGCGUAGGCUGUUUGUCAAGUCAGAGGUGAAAUCCCACGGCCCAACCGUGGAACUGCCUUUGAAACUGGCAGACUUGAGUGUCGGAGAGGGUGGCGGAAUUCCAGGUGUAGGAGUGAAAUCCGUAGAUAUCUGGAGGAACACCGGUGGCGAAGGCGGCCACCUGGACGAUAACUGACGCUGAGGUGCGAAAGCGUGGGUAGCAAACA